AACGUAGGUGGCGAGCGUUAUCCGGAUUUACUGGGCGUAAAGCGUGUGCAGAUGGGACAGCAAGUGGUGUAUGAAAUCGCUCAGCUUAACUGGGCGGGGUUAUGCCAUACUGCUAUUCUAGAGAACGGGAGAGGGACGUGGAAUUCCGGGUGUAGUGGUGAAAUGCGUAGAGAUCCGGAGGAACCCCUGAGGCGAAGGCGGCUCUCUGGUCCGAAACUGACACUGAGAUGCGAAAGCCAGGGGAGCAAACGGG
rnacentral:rRNA from 1 species